rnacentral:rRNA from 1 species
UACGUAGGCAGCGAGCGUUGUUCGGAAUUACUGGGCGUAAAGAGUGUGUAGGCGGUGCUCUAAGUUCGGUGUGAAAUCUCCUGGCUUAACUGGGAGGGUGCGCCGGAAACUGGAGUGCUCGAACGUGGGAGAGGAAAGCGGAAUUCCUGGUGUAGCGGUGAAAUGCGUAGAUAUCAGGAGGAACACCUGCGGUGUAGACGGCUUGCUGGACCAUUGUUGACGCUGAGACACGAAAGCGUGGGUAGCAAACAGG